rfam:Fungal sp. No.14919 DNA, contig: Contig0063.
ACAUACGACCAUACCUACUGGAAAACUCGGGAUCCCGUCCGCUCUCCCAUAGAUAAGCCAGUGAGGGCCAGAUCAGUAGUUGGGUCGGUGACGACCAGCGAAUCCCUGGUGUUGUAUGUU